AGUUCUUCUUUGGUGACAGGUAUGGGUUUUUCCACUCCCUUCAACAGUUCGUUAGUUAGGUCUUUAAAGAAAGCUCAGAUAGUAAAAUGAAAGAUGAUGAUGAGUGAUCUUUGGCAAUUUCGAAUUUCGAAAGCCAAAUGCUCAAAAGCCGACUUAAACAAAACAAACACAUCAUUCCAAAAAUUUACUUACCGAUAAAUUUUGGCCACUGGCAACGAGUUUAGACCAAUUUAAUUGGGAAAAUCCAGGUGCCACAUAUUUUUUAACUCUAAAGUCCCUCCUUGGUUGCUUUUCUGAAUGUUCAACAUUGCUCGACGCAGGACUUAUCCGGAUUUGUGGAGUUUGGUGUUGCUCUGGUCUUCCUAAACUACUCUUA